rnacentral:lncRNA from 1 species
UCGAUUUUACCCGGGACUAAAAGGCUCAAUUACAUACGGCCCAGAAUGAAAUUAAAGGCCCAAAUUACAGUGGCCCCAAAAUUAUCAGAAACCUUAGGGUUUCCAAUCUUCAAGCGCCGCAGCCAAACACCGAAACACGAUCUCCACACCUGCAAGAAAUAAACAGAAUAUGGCAAGAGAAUCAAGGAUUUGCAAAUCAAAAGAUAUCAAUAGAUUUGUUUCUUUAUAUCAUAUUGUGGCUAUAAAAUGCCAUUGAAUACACUGUAAUAGGCAUCGAAAAAUCAAAUAAAAAACACGAUUAUUUUCACAACAAACAGAGCAGUGAGUGCAAUAUUGAGAGAACAGAAAUCAAAUCAAAGGUUUAUAUUUUACAUUUUUUUCACUUUAAUCUACUGUUACUGCAUUUUUUUAUUUUUUUAUUAUUCGCAUACAAAUAAAAUAAACAAGAAAAAAAGAAUAGAAAAUACAUGUAUUCGAGUCCAAGCUGUCGUGGACGGUCGAGGAAGUCGUUUCCGAGGAUAGACGGCCGAAAACCGAAAGGUUUCUUGGGCUUUUGGGGUAUUUCUAUUGAUAUUUUGAAGGUUUUGAGCCCGGAUUCGAUUUUAGAAAGGUCGAAAGGAUCGGGUAGGGGAUUUUAUCCUUUUCCGGCCACCACAGACGGCGGUGCCGGCGCCGGAGAUCGGCGGCCGGCGCGGUGGCCAAUGAUCGGACUAGAGGCCGGACGAACAGAGGGGAGGAGAGUUUUUUUGAAAGGUUUUUGCUUUUUUU